rnacentral:rRNA from 1 species
UACGAAGGGGGCGAGCGUUGUUCGGAUUUACUGGGCGUAAAGGGCGCGCAGGCGGCGAUCUUUGUCAGGCGUGAAAGCCCCGGGCUUAACCUGGGAACUGCGCUUGGGACGGGAUUGCUGGAGACCGGGAGAGGAGAGUGGAAUUCCCAGUGUAGAGGUGAAAUUCGUAGAUAUCGGGAGGAACACCAGUGGCGAAGGCGGCGAUCUGGGUAGAUACUGACGCUGAGGUGCGAAAGCGUGGGGAGCAAACAGG